UAGGCGCGCCGGAAGGAUCUCCACACGCCCUCCGUCUGCCCUCACCAUCUACGCACACCAACGCACGCCAAACCAAUCACCCCACAGCUCAUCCCACGCCCAUGACAGGGGGGAGGGGCACCACACCCUACCUGCACUCCCCCGGUAAAUUGAUCCAAGGCGAGGUGAGACGAAGCUAGGAGGAGCGAGACGGGGCGGGGCGAGACAGGGCGGGGCGGGGCUGGACGGACAGGUGUGAGCAGCUCGUGUGCUUUACCUGCCCACGUGGUUGUCACAUUCACACCUGCUAGGAUAGAUGAUCAGAAAUCGCCUCAGCUGAUCAACAUUCUCCAACACUCGGCCGUCUGCGCUUCCUCACCCACACCAACUGAAAGAACACCUCAGUCACAGCCAUUACAAGUACAUGUUCUUCCAAUGCAAUCACUGACACACUCCACAAUGCGAAUUUAGCCCCUUCAAUACUGGGACACAUUUUUACCUUGAGAUCUGUGUACGAUUAGACCA